rnacentral:rRNA from 1 species
AGUGAACGCUGGCGGUAGGCCUAACACAUGCAAGUCGAACGGCAGCACAGUAAGAGCUUGCUCUUACGGGUGGCGAGUGGCGGACGGGUGAGGAAUACAUCGGAAUCUACUUUUUCGUGGGGGAUAACGUAGGGAAACUUACGAUAAUACCGCAUACGACCUACGGGUGAAAGCAGGGGAUCUUCGGACCUUGCGCGAUUGAAUGAGCCGAUGUCGGAUUAGCUAGUUGGCGGGGUAAAGGCCCACCAAGGCGACGAUCCGUAGCUGGUCUGAGAGGAUGAUCAGCCACACUGGAACUGAGACACGGUCCAGACUCCUACGGGAGGCAGCAGUGGGGAAUAUUGGACAAUGGGCGCAAGCCUGAUCCAGCCAUACCGCGUGGGUGAAGAAGGCCUUCGGGUUGUAAAGCCCUUUUGUUGGGAAAGAAAAGCAGCAGGUUAAUACCCCGCUGUUCUGACGGUACCCAAAGAAUAAGCACCGGCUAACUUCGGG